UACACUUACAAUGAAAUCAUAUAUAUGUAUAAUAUAUUAUGAAAUGUUUUUAUUUUUUUUUUGUAACAUAUAUUUAAAGAGGUUAUGGUGGGGAAAAAUUGUGAUUGAAAACCCCUUCCACCUGAAGUCUGUGGAUAAUUAAUACAAUGUUAAACAAAAAUCUGCACACCAGUCAAGCCAUAAGACUUGCUUUUCCCACAGAAAUCCCAUAACUGCAGCGAUGUUACAACCGCAAAGGAUUCUGGGUGGGCAUAUGCAAAUUAGUUUAACAAAGAAUAACAUUUUUGCCUCAUUCCAUUUUAAACAUGGAUUCCUUUUAAUCUGUGUUUGCUGUUUACAGUUUCUGCGCCUACCAUGAUGACCACGGGUAACGGGGAAUCAGGUUUCCACUCCAUACAGGGAUCCUGAGAAACGGCUACCACAUGCAAGGAAGGCAGCAGGCGCGCAAAUGACCCACUCCCGACGCGGGAAGGUAGUGACGACAAAUAACAAUACAGGACUCUGGAGGCCCUGUAAUUGUAAGGAGUCCACUUGAAAUCCUUUAACUCUGAUCAAUUGGAGGGAAGUCUUGUGCAGAGCCACUGACCCAUGCGUGCUGCAGCUGAAACUCCACUA